AGCACUUCUUCAGACACCACGGGUUGCCCAACCCAGAUUCCUACACCCCAGACAGCUGCGGCCUUGGGUUCCAAGUUACCAGAUGCACCUUGCCUCCCGAACUAGAUCACGGAUUUAAUACAAGCUUUCCAAGGUCCUCCGCCAAAGCUGACAGGAUCCAGGAAUUGGGGGGCUAGCGGUGAGUCCCGGCAGCGGAUCCACGGUCCCCGCGGGGCAGCUCACCUUGCUGAGGACCCCGCAGCGCUCCACAGGCGGCCCGGACUCCGUCUCCGGAUCCUCCUCCGAGCCCGACGAGUUCCAGCUCUGGUUAUCCGACAUGGAGACGCGACAGCCGAGCAGGAGACCGGCCCCCGCUCCGCGAGCUGCGCCAGUGCAGGCGCCUAGUCCCUGGGGUGAAGGGUCGGGGGAUGGCACCGCCAAGAGAGCCCGCUCCGGGGAGUGAGGGAACAGGAAGAGGGACGAAGCGCGCCCGCCGCGCCGCCGCCGCCG
rnacentral:lncRNA from 1 species